rnacentral:ncRNA from 1 species
CUACGGACUUAAGGAAAAUUGAGCCUUGUGAGGGAAACCUUAUAAGUGUAAGUUCUCAAAUUCAGGGAAACCUAAGUCAUCUUUUUUUGAUAGGGCAAUCCUGAGCCAAGCCGAGAAAUCGGAAGGUGCAGAGACUCGACGGGAACUACCCUAACGGUUCAAGCCGAGGGUAAAGAGAGAGUCCAAUUCUUAAAGCUAGACUUAGCA